rnacentral:rRNA from 1 species
UGGGGAAUAUUGGACAAUGGGCGCAGGCCUGAUCCAGCCAUGCCGCGUGAGUGAUGAAGGCCUUAGGGUUGUAAACCACUGUCAGUGGGAAAGAUGGGUGCCGGUGUUAAUACCAUCGGCAUCUGACUGUACCUGCAGAGGAAGCCCCGGCCAACUCUGUGCCAGCAGCCGCGGUAAGACAGAGGGGGCAAGCGUUGCUCGGAAUUACUGGGCGUAAAGGGCGCGUAGGCGGCCUUCUAAGUCAGACGUGAAAUCCCCGGGCUCAACCCGGGAACUGCGUCUGAUACUGGAGGGCUUGAAUCCGGGAGAGGGAUGUGGAAUUCCAGGUGUAGCGGUGAAAUGCGUAGAUAUCUGGAGGAACACCCAUGGCGAAGGCAGCACUCUGGGCUGGUAUUGACGCUGAGGAGCGAAAGCAUGGGUAGCGAACAGGAUUAGAUACCCGCGUAGUCCCUGAGCGGGCUGGCAAGGCGCAU